UCGAGAAUCAUUCACAAUGGGCGAAAGCCUGAUGGUGUGACGCCGCGUGGAGGAUGAAGGUCUUCGGAUUGUAAACUCCUGUCAAGUGAGAGUAAAGCCGGGCGUUAACUGCGAGCCGGUUUGAGAGUAUCACUAGAGGAAGAGACGGCUAACUCUGUGCCAGCAGCCGCGGUAAUACAGAGGUCUCAAGCGUUGUUCGGAAUCACUGGGCGUAAAGGGUGCGUAGGCUGCACGGUAAGUCAGAUGUGAA
rnacentral:rRNA from 1 species